CUUACCUACUCUUGACAUCCAGAGAACUUUCCAGAGAUGGAUUGGUGCCUUCGGGAACUCUGAGACAGGUGCUGCAUGGCUGUCGUCAGCUCGUGUUGUGAAAUGUUGGGUUAAGUCCCGCAACGAGCGCAACCCUUAUCCUUUGUUGCCAGCGGUUCGGCCGGGAACUCAAAGGAGACUGCCAGUGAUAAACUGGAGGAAGGUGGGGAUGACGUCAAGUCAUCAUGGCCCUUACGAGUAGGGCUACACACGUGCUACAAUGGCGUAUACAAAGAGAAGCGACCUCGCGAGAGCAAGCGGACCUCAUAAAGUACGUCGUAGUCCGGAUUGGAGUCUGCAACUCGACUCCAUGAAGUCGGAAUCGCUAGUAAUCGUAGAUCAGAAUGCUACGGUGAAUACGUUUU
rnacentral:rRNA from 1 species